CCAGAUGACGAGCAUCACGCAGACCGACAUCAUCAGCACGCUACAGUCGCUCAACAUGGUCAAGUACUGGAAGGGCCAACACGUCAUCUGCGUCACCCCCAAGCUGGUCGAGGAGCACCUCAAGAGCGCCCAGUACAAGCGGCCGCCGAUCACGGUCGACUCCAUCUGCCUCCGCUGGGCGCCCCCCAAGCACAAACAGGCCAAGAUGUCCAAGAAGUGACGGCGCCGGCUGUAGCUACCGCCGCACCGCGACUGUUGGUUUGGGGGUUUUUUUU